rnacentral:lncRNA from 1 species
UUUGGGCCCAGGCGGACGUUGACUGGUCAGUGUGCGGGUCCUUUGAAUGCUCCUGAGCGCCGGGCUCUCCCCACGCCUGCGCAGUGGGACGGGCGAGUUUGGCGCGGCUUGUGUGUGAGGCGCGGGUAGGUGGCGGCGUGGCCCGGAUUCCCUCAGGUGUUCCGAGGCAGCAUGGGCGGCGAUGCUCAGGUGGUCUGGGCGUUUCUCGGUGCUUUCCCCCGCGCCGCGUGGUCCUGCUGAAGAACGCCGGAAGGCCUAGGGUUCCCUCGGGCUGAUGAGCGGGCCUCGGCCUGUUCUCCGCGGAGUCGCGAACGGCUUCUUGGCUAUGAUGCGAGUCCCCGCUUUCCUGAGAGCUCCUAAUAAAAGCAGUUGUGCGUGUGUGUGUGUACGAGCAGUGCACAAGCGAUCCAUGUAAUGUCGGUGACCUCUCGCGGCAACCUCAGACAUCCUUAGCUUCCCAUCAUGGCUCAGUGUCCCAGGAAAAUACAAUUCCUGUGGAUGAUCUCUGUUGAUAUCAGCCACCUGCUAUGCCUGGCAAGACACCUGUUGUUGUACCAAAAAGCUACCUCCUGGGGACUUAAAGAGCUUUUAUGUUUAUAUUUUGAGACAGCAUCUGUAAUGGCUAUUCCUGGUUGUCAACUUGACUAUAUCUGGAAUAAAAUACAAUCCAGAAUUGAAAGACUCACCUGUGAUCCUGAUCUUGAGGCUGGGAGAUAGAAGUUUCUGACCUGGAUCUUGGCAUGAAGAUCUUGAGGCAUAAUGGCUAUGAAUCCCAGGAGACUAAGGCAAGGAGAUCUCGGAGUUCAAGGUCAUCUGGGACAAAGCAAAUCCCACCAGAUCCAGAUGUGGUGGUACACAUCUUUAAUCUGGGCCACACUUUCUGCUGGAGACCUACAUAAGGACAUUGGAAGAUGGAAGAUUCACUCUUCUUUGCCUGCUUGCCUUGUGGAACUGAGCAACUACUAGAUCUUUGGGCUUCCACUCACAGCUGACCAUUGUUGGGGAGUUGGACUACAGACUGUAAGUCAUCAUAACAAAUUCUCUUACUGUAUAGAGACUACUCAUAAGUUCUGAGACUCUAGAGAACCCUGACUAAUACAGCAUCUCACUUGAUAGCCCUGAACCUGAGAUGCUCCUGCCUCAGCCUCUAGAAUGCUGAUAUUACAGGCACUGCUACCACACUGGUCUCCAACACUGUCUUUGUUGCUGGCCUAAAGGGCAUUCUGUAGACCCCUCCUCACCAUUAUGCAUUUCCACAUUUUGUCAGUUUCUCUACAUAGCCCUGGCUGACCUGGAAUUCACUCUGUGGAACAGGCUGGACUUGAACUCAGAGAUCUGCCUGCCUCUGCCUCUGAAUGCUAGAAUUAAAGGCAUGUACCAUCGCUACUUGACAUUAAAUUUUUAUUUAUUAUUGUGUGUAUGCUUGGUAUUUAUGCAUGAUGUGUGUGUGUGUGAAGAUAUGUGCAUUAAUAACAAUGAGGAAGUCAUAGGACACCUUUUUGUAGUUAGUUCUCUCCUUCCACUUUUACACAGUUCUAGGACUUGAACUCAGGUCCCCAAGCUUGGCAGCAAACACCUUUACCCACUAAGCCAUCUCACAGGUUCCCCCCCACCCUGUUUUUUUUUUUUUUAACUUUUACAGAGUUUCACUAUGUAGCCCCAGCUGACCAGGAACUCAUUGUGUAGACUAGGCUGGCCUCAAAGGUCCACCUACCUGGGCCUCCCAAGUUCUGAGAUUAAAGGUCUGUAUCACCACAUCUGGGUCAUGUGACUAUAGUUUGAUAUUCCCAUUCUGACAUCGAUCACUAAAGGUGGCUAUUGCCUCAAUUUCUCCUUUGUAAUGUUCUUUUGCUUUGUAGCAUCUACUGCUCUGUGGGGCAAAUGAGACUAUGUUACUACAUGUAUUCCUUGUCAAAAAUUUAACAUUUUUCAUGAAAAAAGGAGGAGGAAGGAGAGAAGAUUGGGUUAUUUGGCAACUUAUCGUCCCUCUUACUGCUGGCCGGUGCAGUAGCUGCAGGGGGCCAGCAGGUGUCAGCGCCGAGGCACAUCUGGGUCUGGAACAUUGGCUCUGGUGCUGCCCUGAGAUGUCAUGCGCUGCUGAAGAGGAGCCAAGUAUCUUUGUUUUAUGGCUCCAGGUGGCAGAACUCAUUCUGCCUCAAGAUCUGCUGUCCUUGUCACUACCGAGACAUCCCUCCUUUGUGUCGUGGGUUCCAUCUUCCCUGACCACACUGUCUCCAGUACCUCCACUGCGGAGACGCCCGAAGCAGAAAGGAACUCCCCACAAGCAGAAGACAACAGCCUACAUACUGAGGAGGAGCAGUCCACACAAGAAAGGAGGACUCCACUUGGAAAGGAAGGAGACCCUCAUCUAUGAAGAAGACAAGAUCUAACUUAGCAGAGAGGGGACUGACUGAGACCUGGGUGCAGAUGGGGUGUCUGAUGGCGAGACAGACUGGGGCUUGGGAGAUGGAUGGAGACCUGGCACGUGUGCAGAUGGACUCUAGGCUACUCUUGUGGAAAACAGGCAGACGUGGAGGGCCAAGUGGUCAAGAACUGACGGUAGGGUGCCCUACGGUGCCUCCUGUGCUUCCUCAGACUGGUCGUUUCCCGGGUAUAAUUGGAACUAUUUCCGCUCCUCAGAGAAAGCGAGAAAUACAGAAGUUCCAGAGCCUCGGAGAAGGCUCGUUGUAUAACAGCCUGAGUUUGAUUCUUGGGAUCCACAUGGGAGAGGACUGACCACCACAGGCAUGUUGUGUUAGGCAUGUGCUCACUAAACCUCAAAUACACGUUAGGGAACGAGGAGCGUCCCCUGCCCCCAGGUUUCUGCUUCAGUUUCAUACCUUGGCUUUCCACCAUGAUGGACCGUAACCUGUAAGCUACAUAGACCCUUUUCUUCCCAAGUUGCUUUUGGCCAGCAUUUUAUCACAAUAAUACAAACUAACUGUGACAGUUUCUCAGCUGUUUACUGUGGUGGUUCCAUUGAGAAAUGUCCCUCAUAGUCUCAGACUUGGAGCACUUGGUUCCUAAUUGGUGACAGUUUGGGGAGGUUUGGAGUGUGGGGCCUUGCUGGAGGAAGUAUGCAGGGGUACGGUAGGCUUUCAGAGUAAAAAGUCUUGCCUCUUGUUUGCUUUCUCUGCUCUGGGCUUAGGUUAAGGAUGCCAGGUUUCUGUUUUCUUCUUCUUCUGGUGCCUCGGCAGCCCCUUGCUGCCAUGCCUUCCAACGUGGAGGAGUCGUUCCUGGAACCACAGGCCCAAAUAAACUCUCCUGUUAGUUUCCUUGGUCAUGGUGUUUUCUCACAGCAACAGAGAAGUAACUGUUGGAGCACAGGGCCGAGUCUGUGUAUGAAGAUUUCUGUGUUAGGAGACGUCUUAGCGUUUAUAAGAAAACAAGCCAAAAGUCUUGUGAGCCCGGUUUCUUCAGAACACGGAGUUGUUCUUGGAAUGUGUUCUCAUGCCCCUCCCAGAUGUAGAGAGGGGUGAGUUUACCUCAGACUGUUCAUUACAACUGGCUAUUGUCAUUUGUUUAUAUGCCUUUAUGAAAAAAACAUGUUUGGUGUGGCUUGCCCACCAUGGGCAGCUUCGUUCUUGUGAUUGGACAUUUUACUUAUGUGACUCUUCUCAACCCUCAGAGUAUAAGUUGUCUGAUACUCUAAAUAAAGCUGGCUAAUGCAGG